AUUCGGUUGACGAGUCUCAAAUAGGACGAAACAAGAGUCUUGGAU
rnacentral:hammerhead_ribozyme from 1 species